rnacentral:snoRNA from 1 species
AACUUAACCAGAUGCCAUGUGACGAGCCUUAAUGAUGUUAGGGUCUUUAAGGUCCCUGAAAGUGGCUAUAUAA